rnacentral:rRNA from 1 species
UACAGAGGUCUCAAGCGUUGUUCGGAUUCAUUGGGCGUAAAGGGCGCGUAGGCUGCGGGGCAAGUCGGGUGUGAAAUCUCAGAGCUCAACUCUGAAACUGCACUCGAUACUGCUUUGCUCGAGGACUGGAGAGGAGAUUGGAAUUCACGGUGUAGCAGUGAAAUGCGCAGAUAUCGGGAAGAACACCCGUGGCGAAGGCGGCUCUCUGGGACGGUACUGACGCUGAGACGCGAAAGCGUGGGGAGCGAACAGG